GGCCAUUCCUCUCUGGGAAAUGGGACAGGCGGUGGCCUCAGCAGGAAGCUGGCCCGUCCUGCCAGGGCCCAGAGCC
rnacentral:miRNA from 1 species